ensembl:lincRNA 1700019E08Rik RIKEN cDNA 1700019E08 gene
CCUUUGGAACAGCGACAGCAUAAGAUGUGGCUUUUCUGGGUUCAAGAGAGAAUGGUAAAGCACCCACAUGAAGAGCAAGUUGAACAUCUGGUACAUAUGUGAGUGGAUGCUUAGAUACAGCCCAUAGACGACCUUUCGUUGGUGGUUCAGACUCUGAGAGUCCCAAGGCUCCAGAUUAUGGUCCACCAUUCAGGGAACUCAUGUCAGAAACUCAAGGCAGAAGUUGAGGCCAUGAAGAAACACAGCUUUUCUAGGUCCUCCUGACUUGCUUAUAUAACCUGGGACUAUUUGUCCAGCAGUGUCACCACUUACAAAGCACUGAGUCUUCACACAUCAAUCACUAUUUUUUUAAAUCCCCAUAGUCUUGUCUACAGGUCCCAAUCUUAUGAAAGCAUUGUCUUAAUUAGCAUUCAUUUCUGCCUGACAUGUCUAGGAUUAUGUCAAGUUGACAAAAAAAUGGGGAAAAAAAACCCUCAGUAAUUUUGCAUUUUUCCUUUACAAGUCUUUGUACAUUUGCCAUGGGGAAGAUUUAGUAAGGUCAUGACUGUAACAAGUGCCUCAUGUAUUUGAAAGUCUUUCUUUUUUGAGUUUGGGAAAUGUUCUUCUACAAUGGAAUUAAAGUCUUGAUUCUCUCUG